rnacentral:sRNA from 1 species
AGAAAUAUGAGUAGCAUGUGAUUGUUAUGGAGGUGAUAAUGGUGAUGGUGGAUGGUUACAAAGGUGGUGAUAUGGUGAUUUAAAAAAGAAAUGAAUCAUAUAAAAAUUACAUUCUUUUAUCGUAUGUUGGAAACAUAUCAUGCCGUUUAUAUUUUUUUAGAAAAAUAAUUUGAAUCAAAAUG